AGAAUGAACGCUGGCGGCGUGCUUAACACAUGCAAGUCGAGCGAGGCCUGGGGGGCAACUCCCAGAGUCGAGCGGCGGACGGGUGAGUAACACGUGGGUAACCUGCCCGGAAGUGGGGAAUACCUCGGGGAAACUCGAGCUAAUACCGCAUGACAUCUUGGGACGAAAGUCCUGACGAUCAAAGCGGGGUCGCAAGAUCUCGCGCUACCGGAUGGGCCCGCGCCCGAUUAGCUAGUUGGUGAGGUAACGGCUCACCAAGGCUUCGAUCGGUAACCGGCCUGAGAGGGCGAUCGGUCACACCGGAACUGAGACACGGCCCGGACUCCUACGGGAGGCAGCAGUGGGGAAUCUUGCGCAAUGGGCGGAAGCCUGACGCAGCGACGCCGCGUGCGGGAUGAAGGCCUUCGGGUUGUAAACCGCUUUCACCAGGGACGAAGCGAGAGUGACGGUACCUGGGGAAGAAGCGCGGCUAACUACGCGCCAGCAGCCGCGGU
rnacentral:rRNA from 1 species